rnacentral:rRNA from 1 species
CCUACGGGGCGCAGCAGUAGGGAAUCUUCCACAAUGGACGAAAGUCUGACGCAGCAACGCCGCGUGAGUGAAGAAGGUCUUCGGAUUGUAAAGCUCUGUUCUUGGUGAAGAUAAUGACGGUAGCCAAGGAGAAAGCUCCGGCUAACUACGUGCCAGCAGCCGCGGUAAUACGUAGGGAGCGAGCGUUGUCCGGAUUUACUGGGUGUAAAGGGUGCGCAGGCGGCUCUGCAAGUCAGGCGUGAAAGCUAGGGGCUCAACCCCUAAACUGCGCUUGAAACUGUGGAGCUUGAGUGAAGUAGAGGCAG